ACUAGGCUGUCAUCGAUCUAUUCACGGAUUCCUUCAUCCCCAAUUCUGCUCUGCCUAGGGUUACGAGAGAGACUCCUCCUCCGCCGCUGCGGGAUCCCUCCGCAGCCGAUUGCUGUGGCCAUGGCACCCCUCCCAUCUCCUCGACGUGAUACACUACCGGUUCGCUAUGAGCUGCUCCGGGACUUUGUCUUCGCUCCCAUGGCGAGCACUUGCGCCACGUCCGCCGGCUUUGCUCCCCGUUGGAAGGUCGCGCCGGUGAUGGUGGUGGUUCACCAGCCAGAUUUCGUCAGAGAGGAGGAGGUUGACCGGCCAGAUCCUGAUCCUCCUUGCACCAUCGCCGUGCCGUUGCCCCAAUGCUCGUCUCGAUGCGCCGCCACCCGCAUCCUAGUAAUUUCUCGAUCCAAUCUUCGUCUCGCUUUCUCAUCUCAGAGCAUGACGCCUCCCCUUUUCAAGAUGGGGAGCCCGAGCGACCUCGAGCAACUGUCACCGUCGCCGUCACGUAUGGCCUGGCGAGCUCGUACAGCGUGUGCCCCGCCCUCGCUCCUCCGUGUGCCCCUGUCUACUCCUAUGCCCCUGUUAGCCACGAAGGUGAUGCCCGUCUACAAGCAACAUACUCUCGUCUAUGGAUUCUCAAUCUCAGGCUCUCGAAUAUUGUUGAUCGAGUCAAUGGAUGUUUCCUAGUUUCUCUUAUGGUGAGUAUCAGGUGGUUCUCUUCGACAGUGAUGUCGCCAACACAGCAGAUGCAGCUUGCGGAUCCCAUGGCAUGACUCAGAUGCUGACGAUGAACCGGUAUACCUGUUGUAAUCUGAAAACCUAAAAAAGGUUCUUGGAACUGCUACAGCGCGUGUUCUACAACAACAAUACCGGGUGCGAGGAGCUGGUGAAGAAGUGCGCAGAUGAGCACAUGCAGCAGUGCAAGGUGCUCCGCGGUGGCCGCCGUGUCGUCGAGUACAUCCAUAUACAGCUUCUCCUUCUGUAGAGUUCUCCUUCGCUUUCUUGCAAAUGUGCUCUGCCAGACUAACGUACAUACACUAAGUAGCUCUUUUCUUCAUUUGGGGUUUCCUUUGCAAGGUGAUUCCCAGGGCUCUCAACCUGUCGAGGCAUGUACUCAUUCAUACUGAAACUGAAGUCUGAAAGGCUGGUGGAGGACGUUGUGGAGAGUGUUGCCAAAGGUGGGUCUGUCCGGCUGUCACUACUGCUGGAGCUACAGCGCCGGUACAUGGAGAUCAAAGGGAAGGUGGCCAUCGCCAAGACCCGCUUGAGCCUCAUGCAGGAGGACAUGUACGUACUAACAUAAACAAGAUGAUAGAGAAGUUCUCUGCUCUUCAGCUCAAAGUGAAGGAGGUGAAUGCAUUUUUCACCAUGAAGCAUAAUCAGUCCUCCAAAAGGCCUGCUAGGACAGCAAGGGAAAGUGCACGAUGGUGCCCCGAAGCAUCACGGUGAACAUGGUAAUGUCAGGUUGUUGAUGGAGGGAUUCAAAUUGACAAAGAUUCCGCCCAUUUGAUACCUUAGGUUUGAAGGCCAGGUACCACGCCGCCGCCAUUGCAACCACUCUAGGAUACCAUUAAUGGGAUAUCACUUAAACGUCCUCGUUGCUGGAUCAAAGCAUUGCAGAUCAAGUAGGUAUGCUUCUAAAGUGGCAGUGGACUAAAGAUGAGCAUAGGGUUGUAUACACCAUGCUUAGAAAGGAUGUCUCGGACAGUGUUGAAUGAUGGACUGACAAAGAGGUGUCGGCUUUAGCUCGUGUUCCUAUUUAGACUAUGCAACCCAUCUAGGAAAGAAGGCAAGAAGGUGGUGGCGUUCAAGACAUGAAGAGCAAGAAACCAAAGAUUUAUGGACGGAAGAGGAUCACAUUUAAUUCUAAUGAUAGAACCGAAGAUCUCUUACACAAUAGUUUUUGUGCCAGACAAACUACCGUCGAAAACCAAAGUAUGAUCUUUAUAGCUUGAAACAAGUAGACUACUAUCUCAUGACCUUGAUUUGCGUUAUAACAGCGUCUAUUUGUAAGUGUAAAACAUAUCCAUAUUAUUUAUCUCCCGUAGUCAGUGUUGUGCA